GACAGAGGGUGCAAACGUUGUUCGGAAUUACUGGGCGUAAAGCGCGUGUAGGCGGCAGGGCAAGUCGGAUGUGAAAUCCCGUGGCUCAACCACGGAAGUGCACCCGAAACUGCCCAGCUAGAGUCUCGGAGAGGAAGGUGGAAUGCUUGGUGUAGAGGUGAAAUUCGUAGAUAUCAAGCGGAACACCGGUGGCGAAGGCGGCCUUCUGGACGAUGACUGACGCUGAGGAGCGAAAGCGUGGGGAGCGAACAGG
rnacentral:rRNA from 1 species